rnacentral:rRNA from 1 species
CGACCCCUAAGGCGAGGCCGAAAGGCGUAGUCGAUGGGAAACAGGUUAAUAUUCCUGUACUUGGUGUUACUGCGAAGGGGGGACGGAGAAGGCUAUGUUAGCCGGGCGACGGUUGUCCCGGUUUAAGCAUGUAGGCUGAUUGUCCAGGCAAAUCCGGAUAAUCAAGGCUGAGGUGUGAUGACGAGGCACUACGGUGCUGAAGUAACAAAUGCCCUGCUUCCAGGAAAAGCCUCUAAGCAUCAGGUAACAUUAAAUCGUACCCCAAACCGACACAGGUGGUCAGGUAGAGAAUACCAAGGCGCUUGAGAGAACUCGGGUGAAGGAACUAGGCAAAAUGGUGCCGUAACUUCGGGAGAAGGCACGCUGGUGUGUAGGUGAAGUCCCUGCGG